rnacentral:rRNA from 1 species
UCGGGAAUUUUGGGCAAUGGGCGAAAGCCUGACCCAGCAACGCCGCGUGAAGGAUGAAGUAUUUCGGUAUGUAAACUUCGAAAGAAUAGGAAGAAUAAAUGACGGUACUAUUUAUAAGGUCCGGCUAACUACGUGCCAGCAGCCGCGGUAAUACGUAGGGACCAAGCGUUGUUCGGAUUUACUGGGCGUAAAGGGCGCGUAGGCGGCAAUUCAAGUCAUCUGUGAAAUCUCCGGGCUUAACUCGGAACGGUCAGAUGAUACUGCUUUGCUAGAGUGCAGAAGGGGCAAUCGGAAUUCUUGGUGUAGCGGUGAAAUGCGUAGAUAUCAAGAGGAACACCUGAGGUGAAGACGGGUUGCUGGGCCGACACUGACGCUGAUGCGCGAAAGCCAGGGGAGCAAACGGGAUUAGAUACCCCAGUAGUCCCUGAGCGGGCUGGCAAGGCGCAU